UACGAAGGGGGCUAGCGUUGUUCGGAUUUACUGGGCGUAAAGCGCAUGUAGGCGGGCCGUUAAGUUGGGGGUGAAAGCCCGAGGCUCAACCUCGGAAUUGCCUUCAAAACUGGCGGCCUGGAGCAGGAUAGAGGCGAGUGGAAUUCCGAGUGUAGAGGUGAAAUUCGUAGAUAUUCGGAGGAACACCAGCGGCGAAGGCGACUCGCUGGAUCCUUGCUGACGCUGAGAUGCGAAAGCGUGGGGGGCAAACAGG
rnacentral:rRNA from 1 species